rnacentral:lncRNA from 1 species
UUCGAAGUAACCUAUUUUAUAGUGUUGCUCACGGUUCUCGCACCAUUCCUUGGAAGGCUAUGUUAUUAUUGUUGAGGCCCAAUUAUUUGAGUCGAGCCUUUGAUCCACCACUUAGCCCUAAUUGUAACUUACCUUGUUUGGACAAUACUCUUGGCAUAUAUUCCUCUCAACCUCUCGGCCUCCAUUUAGAGUGAAAAACCCUCUUUGUGAGCUCCUCUCUCUCGGCCGUUUCUUCCCUCCCUCUCUGUGACCUUUGUGGUUGAUAUAUUGUGGGUAUUUUCUUGGCCUUCUUCUUCCCAAAUCCAUAGCAAACGGACCGUGGUGGCAUAAGGUGGUAUUGGAGUUGUCUCAAGAAAUGGUGUCGAUGUUUUUGGUAAACUGAGCCCGG